rnacentral:rRNA from 1 species
AGUGAACGCUGGCGGUAGGCCUAACACAUGCCAGUCGAACGGCAGCACAGUAAGAGCUUGCUCUUACGGGUGGCGAGUGGCGGACGGGUGAGGAAUACAUCGGAAUCUACUUUUUCGUGGGGGAUAACGUAGGGAAACUUACGCUAAUACCGCAUACGACCUACGGGUGAAAGCAGGGGAUCUUCGGACCUUGCGCGAUUGAAUGAGCCGAUGUCGGAUUAGCUAGUUGGCGGGGUAAAGGCCCACCAAGGCGACGAUCCGUAGCUGGUCUGAGAGGAUGAUCAGCCAAACGGGAACUGAGACACGGUACAGACUCCUACGGGAGGCAGCAGUGGGGAAUAUUGGACAAUGGGCGCAAGACUGAUCCAGCCAUACCGCGUGGGUGAAGAAGGCCUUCGGGUUGUAAAGCCCUUUUGUUGGGAAAGAAAAGCAGCAGGUUAAUACCCCGCUGUUCUGACGGUACCCAAAGAAUAAGCACCGGCUAACUUCGUG